rnacentral:rRNA from 1 species
UUCGGCGGCCAUAGCGAAUGGGAAACACCCGGUAACAUUCCGAACCCGGAAGUUAAGCCAUUCAGCGCCGAUGGUACUGCACGGGUGACUGUGUGGGAGAGUAGGACGCCGCCGGAC